AUUGAACGCUGGCGGCAUGCCUAACACAUGCAAGUCGAACGAGUGGCGGAGGGGUGAGUAAUGUCUUGACAACUGCCUGAUGGAGGGGGCUAACUGCUGGAAACGGUAGCUACUACCGCAUACCGUCAUAUGUGCCCAGCUGGGAUUAGGUUGUUGGUGAGGUAACGGCUCACCAAGGCGACGCGCCCUAGCUGGGCUGAGAGGAUGACCGGCCACACUGGAACUGAGACACGGCCCAGACUCCUACGGGAGGCAGCAGUGGGGAAUAUUGGACAAUGGGCGCAAGCCUGAUGGAGCCAUGCCGCGUGUAUGAAGAAGGUCUUCGGGUUGUAAAGUACUUUCAGCAGGGAGGCGUUACCCGCAGAAGAAGCACCGGCUAACUCCGUGCCAGCAGCCGCGGUAAUUC
rnacentral:rRNA from 1 species